UACGUAGGGGGCUAGCGUUGUCCGGAAUCAUUGGGCGUAAAGAGCGUGUAGGCGGCCCGGUAAGUCCGCUGUAAAAGUCAAAGGCUCAACCUUUGAAUGUCAGUGGAUACUGCCGGGCUAGAGUCCGGAAGAGGCGAGUGGAACUCCUGGUGUAGCGGUGGAAUGCGCAGAUAUCAGGAAGAACACCAAUGGCGAAAGCAGCUCUCUGGGACGGUACUGACGCUGAGACGCGAAAGCGUGGGGAGCGAACAGG
rnacentral:rRNA from 1 species